GACGAACGCUGGCGGCGUGCUUAACACAUGCAAGUCGAACGGAAAGGCCCUGCUUUUGUGGGGUGCUCGAGUGGCGAACGGGUGAGUAACACGUGAGUAACCUGCCCUUGACUUUGGGAUAACUUCAGGAAACUGGGGCUAAUACCGGAUAGGAGCUCCUGCUGCAUGGUGGGGGUUGGAAAGUUUCGGCGGUUGGGGAUGGACUCGCGGCUUAUCAGCUUGUUGGUGGGGUAGUGGCUUACCAAGGCUUUGACGGGUAGCCGGCCUGAGAGGGUGACCGGCCACAAGGUGACUGAGAUACGGACCAGACUCGUACGGGAGGCAGCAGUGGGGAACAUGGCAGAAUGGGGGGGAGCCUGAUACAGCAACGCCGCGUGCGGGAUGACGGCUUUCGGGUUGUAAACCGCUGUCGCCUGUGACGAAGCGUGAGUGACGGUAAUGGGUAAAGAAGCACCGGCUAACUACGUG
rnacentral:rRNA from 1 species